CUCUAAAGUUGUCUACUUGUUCGCCCAAUCCAAGAAGGGAGUUGGGCCUUUUAUUCUGGACGAAAGUCCAAAGUGUAAUGCCUUUAGAUCGAAGGAAACUGCGUGAGGCUGGCUUCACAGAGCAGCGUCACUUUCUACUGUCUUCGGUGGAUGGAUAACGUGCAAGUUCUUUAGAGUGCAAUAACACCUUGUACGAAGUCCAAAACUCGACAAACUUUCUU
rnacentral:SRP_RNA from 1 species